rnacentral:tRNA from 1 species
UAGGUAAUUAGUCUAAAAAAGACCUUUGAUUUCGGCUCAAAAAACCCUGGUGAAAACCCAGGAUCACCC